CUUCGGACCUACAAACCACAUUCACAGACAGGUUGUUUUGAAUAAUUUAGUCUGUUAACUACUCUGGCUCUGAUGUGUUUUUCCAUGUAGAUGUAAAUCUGUGUCCCUUCAACGCCUUCUUGCAGGCAGAUUCUGGGACCAAUUUCUUCCCCCUUUCUCUUAACCAAGUUUUAUGAACCCUCAACAGAAUCAUCUGCUCCAGCAGAAGAGCAUCAAGUCCAAGUGAGUGAAAGCAGGUGUUGUGUUCCACUGCCUUGGUGUACUCCAAGGAGGAAAAGGCAAUUCAUUCCAGUGGGCUUCAUCGCUUCCUGGGAACACCAGGACCUCUGCACUGUCAGUGAAAGGAGAGACGUGCCAAUGUUUGGUGGAUGAGAAUACCCUCUCGAGCAUUUGAAAGCACCUCUCUCUUUUCACUGAUGACAAGACUCCCUUUAUAAGAAAUACAUGGUGCUAUAUUCGGUGGACUGGAUUCCUUUAUUCCUCCUUUCUCUUUGUCCCUUCCCUCCCUCUGUUUACUUCCUCCCUAGGCCAGGUGCCAAAAAUGCUAGUGCAGCAGUAUCUCAGCUAUCAGCUUAAACUGUCAAACUGGCUUCCACCUCUUUCAUUUCAGAGAGCACUGUAAUUGAAACUCCUCUUAUUUUGGGUGAUGGUAGUAUUUUAAACUCAGAAUUAUGUAAAGAAAUGGAGAUAACGCUGAACUGCUUCACUGCAAAGGGGUGGCUACAGACCAAGCAAGGAAAUGUUUGCAUAAAUCCUAUGUAGGCAGAUUCUCACCUAGAAAAAGCCUGCAUUUCUGCCAAAAUAUUCAGAAUCUCUCUGGCAUCCACCACAAGCCAAUUGUCAGGCUUGAUUGGUCCGGCAGGGAAGGCUUUUGCUUUCAUUUCUGCACAUUUGGUGCCAGCAUAUUUCCCUGACAAGUGAUGCAAGAGGUGACGGCAAGAGUUCAUUGACCGUGGAGAUGCCUACGCAGGGAAUCACUUUCCUUCUUCUGCAGAGCCUCCCAAAAACCUGUGAUGUUCUGAUGAAACCCAUUCUGCUGCAAAUCUCCCUGCCCAGGUGAUACCGGAGAUCUGUUUGGAAUUGCAGAUGAAAACAUGAGAAAAAACAUGAGGAAGGAAUCUAAGCUAAACACAGCCAUGAUAUCCUGCAAAUAAGGAAUUGCGAUGGCAAAUCCAUCAGCUGAAUCUUUGGUUCAUUGGCAUAUAUAUAUUCUGGAAAUAAUAGGAAAUGGACUCAGUUAUAGUUGAAAGUUAUAAAUUAAAAUGAAACAUAAAAGAAGGCUGAUAUGGCAAACAACUUUUUCAAGAUGAGUAUUUCACCAUUAAAAAAAUCCAAACAACCCUAGUUCAAACCAUAUUGAAGAUUUUGAGAACAAAAACCUUGACAUGACUAAUUUUUAUGCAGUACAAAUUUGACAUUAAGAGACAUUCUAAGAAAAUGGGCUAUUGAUUACACUAGACUAGACUGUGAUUGUGGUAUUCACAUGGAGCAUCCCUUCCUAAAUGAAAAUUCAUUGCAUUUACUCUUUUCUUUGAAGAUCGCAAUAGUCCUUACUGCAAUAACAGACGGUGAGCAACCCGACCCACCUAACGGUGAAAUGCUGUCAAGUUUGUUGUUCCAGAGAAACUCUUCUUCGCUAUUCAUAUCAUAGAAUCAUAGAAUCACUCAGGUUGGAAAGGACCUUAAAGAUCAUCGAGUCCAACUGCAACUGAAUACACUACCCUAACAACUCUCCGCUAAAUCAUGUCCC
ensembl:lncRNA